UAGUGAUGGCGGCGUGAGGAAUUAGACUGACAGACACUUGGUCGUCUCAGACAGCCUCCUGGGAAAUAGAAGUCAUCUUACAUCGCUUCAGAUGUAUACAGAGGUUCCGAGGGCUACAGCAACGAGAUUUUGAGAACUCCAGUCCAGGGUAUUGAGAUCUAUGAGAAAACAAACCGAAAUCAGCAUGGUUGUACAGCCAAAUGGAAAUAUUUUCAAAUUAGCAGCUUUAAAAUAAAGGGAGAAAGAUUAAUACCUUAGCUGUGAACUGAUAUCAAAUGAAGUCCUGAACCAGAUGAGAUCAUUGAAAGUUCAAAGAUUAAAAACUGAAACAGACUCUUGUUCAAGACUCAUAGUCUAAUGAGCAAUGUUAAGCAUCUAUGCUCAAAAACCUCUGUAAGAAUAUCUUUUUUGGACUUAGUGUGUUCAUCCACCAUGGUGGAUACAGAGGUAUCUCAUCUAAUAGGGCUCUAAAAAUUAAUGCCACAUAAUUUUUAUAAAAAUAUAGGCCUGCUAUAUCUAUAUGGGAAAUACUACCAUCAUUUCUACUAAAAAACAAGGAAAAAAAGUUAAGUGUUAAAGCAAUUUUAUAAGUAGCAAUUUCUUGUUUAUACCAGCCAGCUUCCAAAUAAAUGAUACAAACUAUAAGGCCAUUUGAUGAGCUUUACAGCAUAAUAUCUGAGCAGUUAUUAAUCUAUUCUAAUCCUCUAAACUAAUCUGACUACUUCCCAGCCAAAAUCCCCAAGAUACUUGCAUUUUAGUAUUGACUUGGCUCUCUCUGCUCCAGGUGUUUUUCCAUAGUGUCCCUGGGAACUCCCUCCAUGUGGUGAAUCUUCUCUUCCUCUUAUCUCUCUACCCCUCCCCUUGCUGGAAUCAGAAGUCCAGCCCUAUUUUGUACAUUACAAUGCCUUGUUCAGAGAAAUCAGCAUUUGAAUAAUACAAGGAUAAUCUUUGCACAGUGCACAAAAACAUUAUGCCUACAGUUAAGUAUAUCUAGGAGAGAGAGAGUGGCUUACUUGUGGCGUUUCAAAGUUCUCAGUAGUUUUCUUUAGUUUACACUUCUAAGAGUUCUUUUGUAAAGAUUUAUAUUUUAAGUAUUUACUGGCUUGUGUGUAUAUGUAUGUGUGGUUUUUGCAUGUAUGUAUGUACACAGUAUCUAUGUGGUGCCUGAAGAAGACGGAAGAGCAUGUCUGAAAACUUAGAGUCACCAAUGGUUGUACGUUGUCCAUAUGGGUGCUGAGAACCAAACCUGAAUCUUCUGCAGUGCUCUGAACCACUGAGCCACUUUUUGAUCAUGUGUACAUGGGGGUGGGGCAGAAGGUGUGUGCACAUGAGUGCAGGUGCCCAUGAAGGCUAGACAACAGUGUCAGGUCCCAGUGUUGGUGUUACGGGUGGUCGUGAGCCACCCAAUGUGAGUACCUAGUCAAACUCAGGGAACCAAACUCAGGUCCUCUCCAAGAGUAACUCUUAAAUGCUGAGGCAUCUCUCCAGCCCCCUAGUAAGAGCUUUUUACUGCUGUGAGAAAAUGUAUGUUAUGAACACUUAAUACAACAUCAAGUGAAGUUGCCUAACAUGCCUGAAAUGCACCAGCAUGCAGCUGUGAAGCACACCGGUUCCAUUACAGUAGAUUAAGCCCUCUAUGGUACAUUCCUUCCACUAAUAACAACUAUUAACUCUUGACAAAAUAUCAAAAUCAACCCCCUGAAGGCUCUUAAAAGUAAAAAUAGGCAAACUAAGUUAGGAAGUCAAAGCAUGAAGACUCAACCUACCUACCCAAAGGGAGAAUUUUUCCCUUUUUUUUUUUCCUUAUAUGGCUUUGUCCUAACCCAGCACCUACAGGAAGCCUGGAACGGAGUGCAUCACCUCUGUGGUUCAUGACAGGGAGGUUGAAAGGUCAAAGUAUGAGGGGAAUCCUGAACAGAAGCGAGCCAAAGAAAAGUGUCCUCUAGCCGGGUGUGGUGGUGCACAUCUUCAAUCCCAGCACUUGGGAGGCAGAGGUAGGUGAAUUUCUGAGUCCAAGGCCAGCCUAGUCUACAGGGUGAGUUCCAGGACAGCCAGGGCUACACAGAGAAACCCUGUCUCGAAAAAAAAAAAAAAAAAAAAAAAAAAGAAAGGAAAGGAAAGGUGCCUCUAGGUUUGAGUACAAGAACUCACACAUCUCUCAGCCUGGCAGCUAAUUGUGAGUGAAGAAGAAGACUCCAGUUAGCCUAGCAAAAGUUGUGGAAAAAGGAACAGAGAUUAAAAGCAUUUACUCAAGUCUCAGUCUGGACGCAGAGCCACAUAUAUGAGGGACAAACCCAAAUCAAGCAGUCAAGGCUUAAGAAACCGAUCUGAGAUUUUAAACACAAGCCAAAGAUGGCAAGGCCAGACCUAAAGGGUAACCCUAACUAGGGCAAAAGCAAAACAUUUUCAAGAGGAUUCAAAGUGAAAGCAAUAUGAUAUGUGUAAUGUUCCGCAUAUGAUUCAAUUAUUAAACACAUGUAAAGAGACAACACAAUCAAUAGAAGAAAACCCAAGAUAACCUUAGUAUAAUGGUGAGAUAAAGGAAGGAUAGGAAGCUUAAGCAUUAAAACUGAUAAAGUAGAAAGUACAAAACAAGUCUCUAAAACAGAAGCAGGGCUAUCAAAGCCAUGAAUGUAAAUGUUUACAUUAAAUUUAACAAUGUCUAAUGCAUCCAUUAGAUGGGCUCAGUAGCAAAAUAAAAAUAGCAGAGUACCUGUAGGAUGAUAUUCAAAGGCCUAACAUGUGCAUAAUUGGAGCCAAAUCGUGAAACCAGAAGAAAGAGGUAUGAAAUGACUGCAGUUUUCAUCAGAACAGAGAGAAGCCAAACAUCAAUGGAACACCAUCUUUCAAAUACUAAAAGUAAGAUCUUCCAAUUCAGAAUUCUAUGUUGAUCUGAUCAACAAGGAAUGCUAAAAGGAACCCUCCAGAAUAAAGAGAAGUUAUUUAAGAGAAUUUGCUAGUUGUCAACUCAACAGAAUCCAGAAACACCUAGAAGACUCAAUGCAUCUAGCUAUUGUGAGGAUGUUAACAGAGAAGCCAAAUGAGGGAUGAAGAACUGCUCUCAGGGAGUGACACCUUCCAGAGAGAGAUCCAAGGACCAUGAACAUGUGCCUGCCUUUGUUUCCUCUUCCUGAUCAAGUGCAUGUGUUGCUAAUGCUGCUAUCAUCCUCCUCUGACAUCAGAUCCUACUCCAGCCCUCAGCACGUGAACUGUGGCUGCUAGGACGUCCAACCUUGUGGACUGAGUAGUUAUUGACUUUCAGCCUGUCUGCAUAAAGACUAUUAGACUGUCUAGCCUGUAACAGGCAAUAUAGCAACCCCCUUUUUAUAAUAUAUCUAUAUUUUACUGGCUUUAUUUCUUCAAAGAACCCUACUUACUACUAAGAAAAAGUUAAAUCUUUAAGAAUUAAAGAGAU
rnacentral:lncRNA from 1 species